rnacentral:rRNA from 1 species
UACGUAGGGGGCAAGCGUUAUCCGGAUUUACUGGGUGUAAAGGGAGCGUAGACGGAGCAGCAAGUCUGAUGUGAAAACCCGGGGCUCAACCCCGGGACUGCAUUGGAAACUGUUGAUCUGGAGUGCCGGAGAGGUAAGCGGAAUUCCUAGUGUAGCGGUGAAAUGCGUAGAUAUUAGGAGGAACACCAGUGGCGAAGGCGGCUUACUGGACGGUAACUGACGUUGAGGCUCGAAAGCGUGGGGAGCAAACAGGAUUAGAUACCCUGGUAGUC